GUUAUGUUCUAGUUUGUGACACUAGAUAUGAACUCAUAUAGAAGUAUGAAUAGAAUUAGUUAAGUGGCCAAGAGAAUUAGUGACAUUAUUAUGCUCUCAUUUGAGUGUUCUUUCAUGUGUGGUUGGGCAAUUCAGAAUUACUUUGGGUUUUUUUUUUCAAAUUAUAUAUGACCCAUCUCCUUUCCAAGAGGCUUGAUUCUCUCCAUUUUAUCAGUUGAAAAUUAUUGCCCCAUCAUCUUCUCUAGCAAUUAGAGAAAUGCAAAUCAAAACUACUCUAAGAUAUCAUCUCACUCCAGUCAGAAUGGCAGCUAUUAUGAAGACAAACAACAUUAAGUGUUGACAAGGAUAUGGGGAAAAGGUACACUCAUACACUGCUGGUGGGACUGCAAAUCAGUACAGCCAAUAUGGAAAGCAGGAUGGAGAUUCCCUGGAAAUCCAGGAAUGGACCCAUAUAUCCUUCUCCUCGGAUUAUACCCAAAGGACUUAAAAACAGCAUGCUACAGGGACACAGCCACAUCAAUGUUUAUAGCAGCACAAUUCAUAAUAGCUAAACUGUGGAACCAACCUAGAUGCCCUUCAGUGGAUGAAUGGAUAAAA
rnacentral:lncRNA from 1 species